rnacentral:rRNA from 1 species
GGUGGACAAACCGGAGGAAGGUGGGGAUGACGUCAAGUCAUCAUGGCCCUUACGGCCUGGGCUACACACGUGCUACAAUGGUCGGUACAAAGGGUUGCCAAGCCGCGAGGUGGAGCUAAUCCCAUAAACCGAUCGUAGUCCGGAUCGCAGUCUGCAACUCGACUGCGUGAAGUCGGAAUCGCUAGUAAUCGUGAAUCAGAAUGUCACGGUGAAUACGUUCCCGGGCCUU